rnacentral:tRNA from 1 species
GAGGUGGAUAGACGGUGGUCAAUUACUUCAAGGUUUUUAGUACCUUCCGGGAAUGAUGCUAGGUACGUAUCAAAGAUCUCAUCUUUGUCUACUUCA